CCUACGGGGGGCUGCAGUGGGGAAUAUUGCACAAUGGGCGAAAGCCUGAUGCAGCAACGCCGCGUGAGUGAAGAAGGCCUUCGGGUUGUAAAGCUCUGUCUUUAGGGACGAUAAUGACGGUACCUAAGGAGGAAGCCCCGGCUAACUACGUGCCAGCAGCCGCGGUAAUACGUAGGUGGCAAGCGUUGUCCGGAUUUACUGGGCGUAAAGGAUGCGUAGGCGGAUUUUUAAGUGAGAUGUGAAAUACCCGGGCUUAACUUGGGUGCUGCAUUUCAAACUGGAUAUCUAGAGUGCAGGAGAGGAAAGUGGAAUUCCUAGUGUAGCGGUGAAAUGCGUAGAUAUUAGGAGGAACACCAGUGGCGAAGGCGACUUACUGGACUGUAACUGACGCUGAGGCACGAAAGCGUGGGGAGCAAACAGGAUUAGAUACCCUUGUAGUC
rnacentral:rRNA from 1 species